UAAUACGUAGGGUGCGAGCGUUGUCCGGAAUUACUGGGCGUAAAGAGCUCGUAGGUGGUUUGUCGCGUUGUUCGUGAAAACUCACAGCUUAACUGUGGGCGUGCGGGCGAUACGGGCAGACUGGAGUACUGCAGGGGAGACUGGAAUUCCUGGUGUAGCGGUGGAAUGCGCAGAUAUCAGGAGGAACACCGGUGGCGAAGGCGGGUCUCUGGGCAGUAACUGACGCUGAGGAGCGAAAGCGUGGGGAGCGAACAGG
rnacentral:rRNA from 1 species